rnacentral:rRNA from 1 species
AUGAUGUGCGGCGACGCUCUCCUCCGGCAGGAGCCAUGGUUCAUCUCCCUGGCCACUAUCGGCGCUCUGUACUCAGCAGCCGUGGUGUUCCGCCUCCUUCCACACCUCGCCCUCCUCCUGCGCCGGCCGACGGACCUCCGCCACCGCUACGGGGCAUGGGCCGUCGUCACCGGUCCAACGUCCGGCAUCGGCGAAUCCUUGGCACUGGAGCUCGCGCGCAGGGGCCUCAACCUCGUCCUCGUCGGCCGCGACCCCGCCAAGCUCCAGGACAUCUCCGAGACCAUCUCCAAGACCCGCGCCGUGCAGACCAAGACCGUGGUGUUCGACCUCUCGCUCGUCGCCACACCUCAAGGGGACGAGGCGAUGCGGCGGCUCCAGGAGACCGUGGAGGGGCUGGACGUGGGGCUGCUGGUGAACAACGCCGGGGUUGCCAAGCCAUGUGCGGUGUACCUGCACGAGAUGGACGUGGAGGCGUGGGUGCGGAUGAUACGGGUGAACUUGUGGACGCUGACGGAGGUGACCGCGGCGGUGCUGCCGGGGAUGGUGCAGCGGGGCAGGGGCGCCGUCGUCAACAUCGGCUCCGGGUCGUCGGAGGCCAUCCCCUCCUUCCCACUCUACUCCGUCUACGCCGCUUCCAAACGGUAUGUUGCUCAGUUCUCCAGGAGCCUUUACGUUGAGUACAGAAGCAAAGGGAUCGACGUGCAAUGCCAGGCCCCGCUUUUCGUGGAGACGAAGAUGACGUGGAGAGCCGGGAAACGCGGCAAGCAAGGCCCGUUGUCGCGGCUGGUCAUGCCGACGUCGGACGCGUACGCGCGACCGGCGGCGCGCUGGAUCGGGCACGGCCCGCUGUGCAUGCCCAACCUGGGCCACCGGCUCCAGUGGUACCUCUGCCGCGUCGCGCCGGACCGGUUCCUCGACGCGCUCCGCCUGCGCGAGAACCUGCGGCAGAGGGCCGUCUUCCAGCGGUUCAGGUCGCCGAGGGCGCCGUCGCACGCCAACGGCGGCAAGCAGAGCUAG